rnacentral:rRNA from 1 species
GAUGAACGCUGGCGGCGUGCCUAAUACAUGCAAGUCGAGCGAACAGACGAGGAGCUUGCUCCUCUGACGUUAGCGGCGGACGGGUGAGUAACACGUGGAUAACCUACCUAUAAGACUGGGAUAACUUCGGGAAACCGGAGCUAAUACCGGAUAAUAUAUUGAACCGCAUGGUUCAAUAGUGAAAGACGGUUUUGCUGUCACUUAUAGAUGGAUCCGCGCCGCAUUAGCUAGUUGGUAAGGUAACGGCUUACCAAGGCGACGAUGCGUAGCCGACCUGAGAGGGUGAUCGGCCACACUGGAACUGAGACAGGGACCAGGCUCCUACGGGAGGCAGCAGUAGGGAAUCUUCCGCAAUGGGCGAAAGCCUGACGGAGCAACGCCGCGUGAGUGAUGAAGGUCUUCGGAGCGUAAAACUCUGUUAUUAGGGAAGAACAAAUGUGUAAGUAACUAUGCACGUCUUGACGGUACCUAAUCAGAAAGCCACGGCUAACUACGUG